rnacentral:rRNA from 1 species
GACAGAGGUGCCGAGCGUUAGGCGGAAUCACUGGGCUUAAAGCGUGUGUAGGCGGAUGCCUAAGUACCUUGUGAAAUCCCACGGCUCAACCGUGGAACUGCUUGGUAUACUGGGUGUCUUGAGCCACUUAGGGGCAACCGGAACAAAUGGUGGAGCGGUGAAAUGCGUAGAUAUCAUUUGGAACGCCAAUGGUGAAAACAGGUAGCUGGGAGUGUGCUGACACUGAGACACGAAAGCCAGGGGAGCGAACGGG